rnacentral:lncRNA from 1 species
AUAAGGCCCAAAGGUUAGACAAUUUAUCAGAUUAUAUAUAUAUAUAUAUAAGAAACUAUUCCAAGCCCUUUUCCUCCCUUUCCUUUUCCAGGAGACUACUUUGGGCUGCCAGAACACUGUAUCAAACCUGCUACCUAUCUUAGGGCCUAUCUUUCUGGUGGAAUUUUGAAGGCCCUAACAGAAAUGGUCUUCCAGAAACAGAGAAAACUAAAAUUUUAUUUAUUUACUCUUGAGAGCAUGAUUAUAAAACAGAUUGAGGUAAACUGUAACCUCAGAAUGAGAUUGGAUUUAAAUUCAUAGCAAUAAGGAUGAACCAUCCCUCCAGCUGUCUGUGUGAUUGCAGUAUGUAUAUUCAUCCACUGAAACUAUUUGCUAGGUACCAACAAAGUGCCAGGUACUGCAGAUGUCAAUCAAAUGCUUUCUGUCCUGAUGGAACUCACAGUAGCAAUUAGAGGAAGACAUAUGUGGAAACAAACAAAAAAAAAGGAGUAGUUUUUUCUUGUUGUUGUUUUUUUUUUUUUAGUACUAUUAGAUUACAAAGGAGAGAGAGGUCAUUUCUACCUGAGGAGAUAAAGAAUGGGGUCAAGAAAGGCAUUGUGGGAAAAGUAGACCGAAGCUAAGUCUCAGAAAUGAAGUAGGGGUGUCCAGGCUGCUUCAGGCAGAGGACACACUGAGCUGAGACACAGAAGCAUGAAACAGCAUGAGGAUUUUAAGGAACUGGAUGUAAUUUGUAAUGAGCAAAAGGCUCAAGGGAGACGUGGCAAGAAAUGAGGCUGGAUGGAAAGAUAGGUUCAAUGUAAGCACUUUAUAGAAUAAUUCUAUUUAAUUUCUGAUUCAAUUAAUCAAAUUUUCUUGGUCAUUUAUUGUGUGUAAGGCACCAAGUACAUCACGGAAAAUUGAUCAGGAUGUGUUGCAAGCACUUUGCAGACAUGACGGUCUUUACCCUCAAGCUUUCCUGUGGCCAAAGGGAAAUAGUGGCUGCUUUUCAUGUAUUUGUGUCAGAGUUUCUUGACAUGGUCAAUGAAGACUGAUGUGAGGGCAGUGGGAUUUUCACAGAAGCAUUCCAUGUUGUCAAGAGCCUCUGGGACUUUCUCAACUGUGAAAGAGAAAACUGGAAAUUUUGGAAGACGUGUCCGCAGAGGGGACCUCCAGUCAGGUACUGGAAGGAAUGGGGAAAGAGCACAGGAAUGA